AAGCAUGAGCCACCACGCCUGGCCUGAUCCAUUUUUUAUUUGAUUCUUGUAUAUGGUGAGAAAUAGGGGUCUAGUUUCAUUCCUCUGCAUAUGAUUAUCAUUUUCCUAACAUCAUUUAUUAAAAAGGUGUCCUUUCCCUAAUUUAUGUUCUUGGUGCCUUUGUCAAAAAUGAGUUGACUGGGUCAGGCGCGGUGGCUCACAAAGUCAAG
rnacentral:lncRNA from 10 species